UACGAAGGGGGCGAGCGUUGUUCGGAUUUACUGGGCGUAAAGGGCGCGCAGGCGGCGGAUCAAGUCAGAUGUGAAAGCCCCGGGCUUAACCUGGGAACUGCAUUUGGGACUGGUUUGCUAGAGAUCGGGAGAGGAGAGUGGAAUUCCCAGUGUAGAGGUGAAAUUCGUAGAUAUCGGGAGGAACACCUGUGGCGAAAGCGGCGCACUGGACCACAACUGACGCUGAGGCGCGAAAGCUAGGGGAGCGAACAGG
rnacentral:rRNA from 1 species